rnacentral:rRNA from 1 species
AUGAGCGCUGGCGGCGUGCCUAAUACAUGCAAGUCGAGCGAACGGACGAGAAGCUUGCUUCUCUGAUGUUAGCAGCGGACGGGUGAGUAACACGUGGAUAACCUACCUAUAAGACUGGGAUAACUUCGGGAAACCGGAGCUAAUACCGGAUAAUAUUUUGAACCGCAUGGUUCAAAAGUGAAAGACGGUCUUGCUGUCACUUAUAGAUGGAUCCGCGCUGCAUUAGCUAGUUGGUAAGGAAACGGCUUACCAAGGCAACGAUGCAUAGCCGACCUGAGAGGGUGAUCGGCCACACUGGAACUGAGACACGGUCCAGACUCCUACGGGAGGCAGCAGUAGGGAAUCUUCCGCAAUGGGCGAAAGCCUGACGGAGCAACGCCGCGUGAGUGAUGAAGGUCUUCGGAUCGUAAAACUCUGUUAUUAGGGAAGAACAUAUGUGUAAGUAACUGUGCACAUCUUGACGGUACCUAAUCAGAAAGCCACGGCUAACUACGUG